rnacentral:rRNA from 1 species
AUGCGGGCCCCGCCUAUCAAUGAGAAAAAUGGUCAUCUUCUUCACAUCUGUAUUUCUAUGGGGCAUUUCAUCAAACAUCUUCCGGGCGGCCCGCAGGGAACUCAUUCUUGCAGGCAUGCCCUUGAGCUUGAAGCAGAUGGACCACUCCGACGCGGCGAGCCCGCCCACGAGCUGGCAGCACUCGCUCCCGAGCUAUGCACCAGCCUGCCUGUUCAUGGACCGAGCACAACCAACGUGUCCACCUCCCGCCCACGGAUGCACGCGCUAGUGAGGCGGCGGCAGCCGGAGCACAAGGCAGCAAGCGGUGAUCAGGGGAGGACGCACGGAGGAGCUAGGUGA